rnacentral:rRNA from 1 species
UACGUAGGGGGCAAGCGUUGUCCGGAAUGACUGGGCGUAAAGCGCGCGCAGGCGGUCUUUUGCGUCUUGGGUGAAAGACCGGGGCUCAACCCCGGGGGUGCCCAAGAAACGGGAAGACUUGAGGGUCGGAGAGGCAAGGGGAAUUCCACGUGUAGCGGUGAAAUGCGUAGAUAUGUGGAGGAAUACCAGUGGCGAAGGCGCCUUGCUGGCCGAACCCUGACGCUGAGGCGCGAAGGCGUGGGGAG